rnacentral:rRNA from 1 species
GAUGAACGCUGGCGGCGUGCCUAAUACAUGCAAGUCGAGCGAACGGACGAGAAGCUUGCUUCUCUGAUGUUAGCGGCGGACGGGUGAGUAACACGUGGAUAACCUACCUAUAAGACUGGGAUAACUUCGGGAAACCGGAGCUAAUACCGGAUAAUAUUUUGAACCGCAUGGUUCAAAAGUGAAAGACGGUCUUGCUGUCACUUAUAGAUGGAUCCGCGCUGCAUUAGCUAGUUGGUAAGGUAACGGCUUACCAAGGCAACGAUGCAUAGCCGACCUGAGAGGGUGAUCGGCCACACUGGAACUGAGACACGGUCCAGACUCCUACGGGAGGCAGCAGUAGGGAAUCUUCCGCAAUGGGCGAAAGCCUGACGGAGCAACGCCGCGUGAGUGAUGAAGGUCUUCGGAUUGUAAAACUCUGUUAUUAGGGAAGAACAUAUGUGUAAGUAACUGUGCACAUCUUGACGGUACCUAAUCAGAAAGCCACGGCUAACUACGUGCCAGCAGCCGCGGUAAUACGUAGGUGGCAAGCGUUAUCCGGAAUUAUUGGGCGUAAAGCGCGCGUAGGCGGUUUUUUAAGUCUGAUGUGAAAGCCCACGGCUCAACCGUGGAGGGUCAUUGGAAACUGGAAAACUUGAGUGCAGAAGAGGAAAGUGGAAUUCCAUGUGUAGCGGUGAAAUGCGCAGAGAUAUGGAGGAACACCAGUGGCGAAGGCGACUUUCUGGUCUGUAACUGACGCUGAUGUGCGAAAGCGUGGGGAUCAAACAGGAUUAGAUACCCUGGUAGUCCACGCCGUAAACGAUGAGUGCUAAGUGUUAGGGGGUUUCCGCCCCUUAGUGCUGCAGCUAACGCAUUAAGCACUCCGCCUGGGGAGUACGACCGCAAGGUUGAAACUCAAAGGAAUUGACGGGGACCCGCACAAGCGGUGGAGCAUGUGGUUUAAUUCGAAGCAACGCGAAGAACCUUACCAAAUCUUGACAUCCUUUGACAACUCUAGAGAUAGAGCUUUCCCCUUCGGGGGACAAAGUGACAGGUGGUGCAUGGUUGUCGUCAGCUCGUGUCGUGAGAUGUUGGGUUAAGUCCCGCAACGAGCGCAACCCUUAAGCUUAGUUGCCAUCAUUAAGUUGGGCACUCUAAGUUGACUGCCGGUGACAAACCGGAGGAAGGUGGGGAUGACGUCAAAUCAUCAUGCCCCUUAUGAUUUGGGCUACACACGUGCUACAAUGGACAAUACAAAGGGCAGCGAAACCGUGAGGUCAAGCAAAUCCCAUAAAGUUGUUCUCAGUUCGGAUUGUAGUCUGCAACUCGACUACAUGAAGCUGGAAUCGCUAGUAAUCGUAGAUCAGCAUGCUACGGUGAAUACGUUCCCGGGUCU